AGGAUGAACGCUGGCGGCGUGCUUAACACAUGCAAGUCGAACGGUCGCAAGACAGUGGCGCACGGGUGAGGAACACGUAGCUUAUCUGCCCCGAAGUGUGGGAUAACGCUCCGAAAGGAGUGCUAAUACCGCAUAAGCUCCCGAACUCUAGAGGUUUGGGAGAAAAGGCGCAAGUCGCUUUGGGAGGAGGCUGCGGCCCAUCAGGUAGUUGGUGCGGUAACGGCGCACCAAGCCAACGACGGGUAGGGACCGGUGAGAGGGUGAUCCCCCACACUGGGACUGAGACACGGCCCAGACUCCUACGGGAGGCAGCAGUGAGGAAUAUUGCCCAAUGGACGAAAGUCUGAGGCAGCGACGCCGCGUGGGUGAUGAAGGGCCUUGGGUCGUAAAGCCCUUUUCUGCGUGACGAGACAAAGGACGGUAGCGCAGGAAAAAGUCUACGGCUAACUACGUGCCAGCAGCCGC
rnacentral:rRNA from 1 species